rnacentral:sRNA from 1 species
ACAGAGUAGAGGAUCGUUGGACUUCCAC